rnacentral:sRNA from 1 species
GGAGUUUUCGGUGGCUCAGCUGGGUAACCGGGGAUCACCAUGGCGGCCUCAUUGGUGGGGAAGAAGAUCGUGUUUGUAACGGGGAACGCCAAGAAGCUGGAGGAGGUCGUUCAGAUUCUAGGAGAUAAGUUUCCAUGCACUUUGGUGGCACAGAAAAUUGACCGUACAGGGGCCCGUGCUGGUUGAGGACACCUGUCUGUGCUUCAAUGCCCUUGGAGGGCUCCCCGGCCCCUACAUAAAGUGGUUUCUGGAGAAGUUAAAGCCUGAAGGUCUCCACCAGCUCCUGGCCGGGUUCGAGGACAAGUCAGCCUAUGCGCUCUGCACGUUUGCACUCAGCACCGGGGACCCAAGCCAGCCCGUGCGCCUGUUCAGGGGCCGGACCUCGGGCCAGAUCGUGGCACCCAGAGGCUGCCAGGACUUUGGCUGGGACCCCUGCUUUCAGCCUGAUGGAUAUGAGCAGACGUACGCAGAGAUGCCUAAGGCGGAGAAGAACGCUGUCUCCCAUCGCUUCCGGGCCCUGCUGGAGCUGCAGGAGUACUUUGGCAGUUUGGCAGCUUGACUUCUGCAGCUGGAGGAGGCCCCUCAGGCCGGGGAUCUGGGGAGGGCUAGCCCAAAACCUCCCGCAUCGGGCAGGCACCCCUUGAAGUACUUCCUUCAGGGUUUCCCCUUUGUGAGGGUGUCGAGUAGCCUCACCGGCCUGUCUGGAGGAGCAGCUGGCUCUGCUCUGAGAAACUCUGGCAAGUGGACGCCAUUCUCUUGCCCUUAGGAUUCACUGCUCUCUCCUACAGCCCCCAGGCCUGGGGUCCUGAAAGGACCUUGUCUGGUAAAGCUGCACUUGGUGGGAGUGAGGGCGUGGGGAGGAACCAUGCAAAUCGCCUUCCAUGGUUUUAAAUGCAAUAAAUAACAUUUCUGGAUGAGACUUGUUUCCAAAAUAAACCAGCUGUAUCUGUUUUGAACCCUGCCCCA